rnacentral:rRNA from 1 species
GACGAACGCUGGCGGCGUGCUUAACACAUGCAAGUCGAACGGAAAGGCCCUGCUUUUGUGGGGUGCUCGAGUGGCGAACGGGUGAGUAACACGUGAGUAACCUGCCCUUGACUUUGGGAUAACUUCAGGAAACUGGGGCUAAUACCGGAUAGGAGCUCCUGCUGCAUGGUGGGGGUUGGAAAGUUUCGGCGGUUGGGGAUGGACUCGCGGCUUAUCAGCUUGUUGGUGGGGUAGUGGCUUACCAAGGCUUUGACGGGUAGCCGGCCUGAGAGGGUGACCGGCCACAUUGGGACUGAGAUACGGCCCAGACUCCUACGGGGGGCAGCAGUGGGGAAUAAUGCACAAUGGGCGGAAGCCUGAUGCAGCAACGCCGCGUGCGGGAUGACGGCCUUCGGGUUGUAAACCGCUUUCGCCUGUGACGAAGCGUGAGUUACGGUAAUGGGUAAAGAAGCACCGGCUAACUACGUG